UACUUGGGGUGCAAACGUUGCUCGGAAUUAUUGGGCGUAAAGCGCGCGUAGGCGGUUACUUAAGUCGGAUGUGAAAGCCCUCGGCUUAACUGAGGAAGUGCACCCGAAACUGAGUAGCUAGAGUACGAAAGAGGGUCGCGGAAUUCCCGGUGUAGAGGUGAAAUUCGUAGAUAUCGGGAGGAACACCGGUGGCGAAGGCGGCGACCUGGGUCGAGACUGACGCUGAGGCGCGAAAGCGUGGGGAGCAAACAGG
rnacentral:rRNA from 1 species